rnacentral:rRNA from 1 species
UACGUAGGGUGCAAGCGUUGUCCGGAAUCAUUGGGCGUAAAGAGCGUGUAGGCGGCUCGAUUAGUCCGCUGUAAAAGUCCAGGGCUCAACCCUGGGAUGCCGGUGGAAACUGUCGGGCUAGAGUCCGGGAGAGGCGAGUGGAAUUCCUGGUGUAGCGGUGAAAUGCGCAGAUAUCAGGAGGAACACCAAUGGCGAAGGCAGCUCGCUGGAACGGUACUGACGCUGAGACGCGAAAGCGUGGGGAGCGAACAGG